CUCUUAAUGCAACUUUAUAUUAAUAUCCACGUUGAUUCGUAGAGAUAUAAUAUAGAACGGUCACAAGUCCGUAUAAAUGCAGAGUGGGAG
rnacentral:ribozyme from 1 species